AGAAUUAGAGGGCGGAACGGGCAGCCGCCACCAUGUACAUUACGUACAGUAGGAGAUGUGGGAAUAGUCACCCCACCUGAUUCA
rnacentral:ncRNA from 1 species